rnacentral:rRNA from 1 species
CAGUAGCCACGGGAAUACGGAGGGUGCAAGCGUUAAUCGGAAUUACUGGGCGUAAAGCGCGCGUAGGUGGUUCAUUAAGUUGGAUGUGAAAGCCCUGGGCUCAACCUGGGAACUGCAUCCAAAACUGGUGAGCUAGAGUACGGUAGAGGGUAGUGGAAUUUCCUGUGUAGCGGUGAAAUGCGUAGAUAUAGGAAGGAACACCAGUGGCGAAGGCGACUACCUGGACUGAUACUGACACUGAGGUGCGAAAGCGUGGGGAGCAAACAGGAUUAGAUACCCCCGUAGUCCCUGUCUCUUAUAC